CUAAAAAAAACCCCCCC
rnacentral:rRNA from 1 species